CGAGUUUUUCAGCAAGAUAGGGCUCAGAAUCAACGCUGGCGGCGUGCCUAACACAUGCAAGUCGCACGAGAAAGGGACUUCGGUCUUGAGUAAAGUGGCGCACGGGUGAGUAACACGUGAAUUAUCUACCUCCGAGUGGGGAAUAACUGAGAGAAAUCUUAGCUAAUACCGCAUAACACUUACGAGUCAAAGCAGCAAUGCGCUUGGAGAGGAGUUCGCGGCCGAUUAGUUAGUUGGCGGGGUAAUGGCCCACCAAGACGAUGAUCGGUAUCCGGCCUGAGAGGGCGCACGGACACACUGGAACUGAAACACGGUCCAGACUCCUACGGGAGGCAGCAGUGGGGAAUUUUGCGCAAUGGGGGAAACCCUGACGCAGCAACGCCGCGUGGAGGAUGAAAUAUCUUGGUAUGUAAACUCCUUUCGAUGGGGAAGAUAAUGACGGUACCCAUAGAAGAAGCCCCGGCUAACUUCGUGCCAGCAGCCGCGGUAAUACGAGGGGGGCAAGCGUUGUUCGGAUUUAUUGGGCGUAAAGGGUGCGUAGGCGGUUUGGCAAGUCUUAUGUGAAAUCUAUGGGCUCAACCCAUAGUCUGCAUAAGAAACUGCCGGGCUUGAGUAUUGGAGAGGUGAGUGGAAUUUCCGGUGUAGCGGUGAAAUGCGUAGAUAUCAUAAGGAACACCGGUGGCGAAGGCGGAUACCUGGAAGAUUCCUGACUCUGAAACACGAAAGCCAGGGGAGCAAACGGGAUUAGAUACCCCGGUAGUCCUGGCCGUAAACGGUGUGCAUUGGGCGUAGGCGGAUUCGACCCCGUCUGUGUCGUAGAUAACUCAUUAAAUGCACCGCCUGGGAAGUACGGUCGCAAGAUUAAAACUCAAAGAAAUUGACGGGGGCCCGCACAAGCGGUGGAGUAUGUGGCUUAAUUCGAUGCAACGCGAAGAACCUUACCUGGCCUUGACAUGCUAGUAGUAGAACCCAGAAACGGGGACGAGGUAGCAAUACCAGCUAGCACAGGU
rnacentral:rRNA from 1 species